AGCAGAAUCCGAGGAAGGGAGGGAGCAGCAACGUGUCCAUCCCUCCCCGUGCUCUCUCCCAUUUAAGGGAAUUAAAAAAAAAAAAAACCCCAAAAAGGUGCUACCCUAAAAACUACAGACUCCAGCAGCAGAGCAGUGAAAAGGAAUUUAGGAUAAGAAAGAAGGAAUUCAGCUUCUCAGUCACCCUGGCAACAGCAGGAAGGGCAGGAAAGGUUGCACAUCCCAGCAAAGCCAUAUCGUGAUAUUUUGUCCUCUGUGUCUGCCCAGGUCAUGGGAUUCUGUUCUCAAUUUUCUCAUCAAGGAAACUUUUUUUUUUUUUUUUUUUUUUUCCCCUUUUUAAUUUCUCUGCUUGAAGAAGAAAGAAAAAAAAAAAAAAAAAAAGGAAAAUAAUAAAAAAUUUCCUCUGUCGAAUUCCACAGUGUUGUAAUUGUACUGAGCUCCAAACUGUUCCAAUCCCCCCCAGACCACUUAGCUACGGUAUAUUGCAAUAAAAUUACUACUUGUAUUUGCAGACCUUCUUUUUUGUGUAAUUUUAUUUUCCCUCCUUCCCCUUAAUAUAUAUUGACUUGAACAAAUGUUGAUAAGAAAAAAAAAAUAAAACCUAUGGAAAAAAACAAAACAAAACAAAAAAAACCAACAACCAACUUUUAGUACAUAAGGCCCUUUUUAAAAUAUAGUGUCAAAUGCCGUAUUGUACAUUUCUUCAAAGUCCAAUAAACGUGUCAUAAAAUUUAAGUGUAAUGCCCAUAAGAGCUAUUUUUAAAUAUUUUAAACCUGUGUAAUAAAGGAAUAAAUGUAAUAGAUUUUUUUUUUUUCAAUAAAUCAAGUUUACUGUUUCCACCUAAACCCCCGUGAUGUGAAUCUCUUCUUGGAGCUGAUUCAGCAGGAUUUCCCCAGGACCCCCCUGCCCUGUGGAGCCUGGAAAGUUCAUCAGAGGAGCAGUGGAAGUGCUUAAAAGUGAGAAAUUCCAGUGCAAAAUUCCAACCUGGUUUUGGUGGCUGGGAUGUGGAGGAGAACACUGAGUGGCCACCAGCUCUUCACCUUCUCCACAGCAGCAGAAACGUCACCUGAGGAGUUUUUCUUUUGCUGAUCUUCUCAUCCCAAGACAAAUUCAGUGGGGAAAAAAAAAAAAAAAAAGAAUUUCCAGCUUCUUGGAUCCUCUGGAAUUCAGAGUGGGGAAGUGGCACGAGUCUGGAUCUGGGUCACUCUGCUUCUCAGGGGCUUCUUCAAACAAUUUCUGGUUGGAGCUGCAGCUCCAGGAGAUGUUGGAGCUCCAGGAGGUGACACUGGGAGCCCUGCAGGUGGGUCAGGUGCCACAAGCCCAGCCCUGCACUGACCAAGCCAAGCUCUGUGUCCCAAAAUUUCUGCCCUUCGUCCUUUGGCCGCUUUGAUGAUCUUUGUUCUUUGUCCAAAGGUGUCCAGGGAAGGAGCCAAAGGCACGGAUUGGGUUGGGUUGGAAAGGAAAUUAAAGAUCAGUCAGGGACACCUUCCACAGCCCAGGGUGCUCCAAACCCCGUCCAACCUGGACCUGAAAUUGUUUAAUCUUCAGCCAUUUAGUCUGUCAUUAACUUCUAGGAGCAGUUUUGGGAAAUCUUGGGGUAUCAUGGCCAAAUCUUCAUGCAGAUGCACCCCAGAAAUGCAGAGCUGCAGGAAGAAAUGAGGGCAAAAUAACUUUAUUUACUUAAACCCUGCUGGAAAUACUUCACUUGGACCUUGAUCGUGCUUCAAGGUGACUUGAAGUUGUGAUUUGCACUCAAUCACUGCUGCUUGCAGUGCUCAGGGAAGCUUUGAUGUGCUAUUAGGGAAAAGCAGAGAUCUGAGGAGGGAUCUGACUGUUUCUGGCACUGCCAGACACAGGAGCCAUGGCAAAUCUUUCACCUCUUUUUGUACAACAAAGUCCGUGAUUUCGUGCUCCGGCUCCAAAGCUGUAACUCCUGCAGGUGAAAUAUUGAGGGGAAUUUUUAGAAGAGCCACAGAAAGAGCAGCAGAUUAUUGAGACACAGUGUGAGCACCCAAACCUGCUCACUUAUGGGGUGAGGAUGGGGCUGCUCAUCCCAAAUUCCAGCAGCAGCUGAGAUCCUACAAAGGCAGGACCAGGAGCCCAAAGCUUGGGAUGCAGCAAAAGGAGGAUGGAAAUCACCAAUCUCAGCAGGCAGCCCAGGAAAUGGGAAUUAUCCAAGGGCAGCUGAUCCCAGUGGGGUUUCCACAGCUUUUAAAGCAGGGAAGGGAAGGCUGUAGGGUUUGGGGC